rnacentral:misc_RNA from 1 species
GCAAGAAGUAGUAAAGGCGUAAAAAAGGUGAAGUACUGGCCGUUUCAUUUUGCAUGGCGUUUGGGGCAGUUGCAAAAGCUGGAACUUCCUGCGGAAGGGUCUACGGAAUUCAACACAACCAAAGCAAUGAAAUCACGCCACGUGCAUUAGCACGAAUCUGAUUGAUGGUACUGGAACCGGUUGCAUCUGGGUGUAAAUACAGAGGAAGAUAAGGAGAUUUUGAUUGGGAAAACGGGAAAAAUGUGCUUGGAUUGCAAAUAGAAAGUUGUUUAGGGGGGUGACGGUUUGUGAAUACCGAAUUUUUCAGGUAUGAAAAUGAAAGUUUUUUAAGUGGUUUUGUCGUUUGAAGAACUUCGAAUUUGGGCAUUUUCAAGCCGACAUGAACAUUUAUUUUCCUGUGUCGUGUCGUUUUUCUUAUGUUUUGGAAAUUAGAGGGGGGUUGCUUCGUUGCAGCUUUGGAUUUAAGAUUCUGUGUUUG